UAGAGGAGUAAAAGUCGUAACAAGGUUUCCGUAGGUGAACCUGCGGAAGGAUCAUUAGUGAAUAUAGGACGUCCAACUUAACUUGGAGUCCGAACUCUCACUUUCUAACCCUGUGCACUUGUUUGGGAUAGUAACUCUCGCAAGAGAGCGAACUCCUAUUCACUUAUAAACACAAAGUCUAUGAAUGUAUUAAAUUUUAUAACAAAAUAAAACUUUCAACAACGGAUCUCUUGGCUCUCGCAUCGAUGAAGAACGCAGCGAAAUGCGAUAAGUAAUGUGAAUUGCAGAAUUCAGUGAAUCAUCGAAUCUUUGAACGCACCUUGCGCUCCAUGGUAUUCCGUGGAGCAUGCCUGUUUGAGUGUCAUGAAUACUUCAACCCUCCUCUUUCUUAAUGAUUGAAGAGGUGUUUGGUUUCUGAGCGCUGCUGGCCUUUACGGUCUAGCUCGUUCGUAAUGCAUUAGCAUCCGCAAUCGAACUUCGGAUUGACUUGGCGUAAUAGACUAUUCGCUGAGGAAUUCUAGUCUUCGGACUAGAGCCGGGUUGGGUUAAAGGAAGCUUCUAAUCAGAAUGUCUACAUUUUAAGAUUAGAUCUCAAAUCAGGUAGGACUACCCGCUGAACUUAAGCAUAUCAAUAAGCGGAGGAAAAGAAACUAACAAGGAUUCCCCUAGUAGCGGCGAGCGAAGCGGGAAGAGCUCAAAUUUAUAAUCUGGCACCUUCGGUGUCCGAGUUGUAAUCUCUAGAAAUGUUUUCCGCGUUGGACCGCACACAAGUCUGUUGGAAUACAGCGGCAUAGUGGUGAGACCCCCGUAUAUGGUGCGGACGCCCAGCGCUUUGUGAUACAUUUUCGAAGAGUCGAGUUGUUUGGGAAUGCAGCUCAAAUUGGGUGGUAAAUUCCAUCUAAAGCUAAAUAUUGGCGAGAGACCGAUAGCGAACAAGUACCGUGAGGGAAAGAUGAAAAGCGCUUUGGAAAGAGAGUUAACAGUACGUGAAAUUGUUGGAAGGGAAACGCUUGAAGUCAGACUUGCUUGCCGAGCAAUCGGUUUGCAGGCCAGCAUCAGUUUUCCGGGAUGGAUAAUGGUAGAGAGAAGGUAGCAGUUUCGGCUGUGUUAUAGCUCUCUGCUGGAUACAUCUUGGGGGACUGAGGAACGCAGUGUGCCUUUGGCGGGGGUUUCGACCUCUUCACACUUAGGAUGCUGGUGGAAUGGCUUUAAACGACCCGUC
rnacentral:rRNA from 1 species